GACGGACGGUGGCCAGGGAUCAGGCAGCGGCUCAGGCGACCCUGAGUGUGCCCCCACCCCGCCAUGGCCCGGCUGCUGCAGGCGUCCUGCCUGCUUUCCCUGCUUCUGGCCGGCUUCGUCCCGCAGAGCCGGGGACAAGAGAAGUCGAAGAUGGACUGCCAUGGUGGCAUAAGUGGCACCAUUUACGAGUACGGAGCCCUCACCAUUGAUGGGGAGGAGUACAUCCCCUUCAAGCAGUACGCUGGCAAAUACGUCCUCUUUGUCAACGUGGCCAGCUACUGAGGCCUGACGGGCCAGUACAUUGAUUACGGUCAAGAGGAUAGAACCUGAGUCCCAGCAUUGCUGUGAACUCACUGGUGAUCUUGCACAAGUCCCUCCCUUUCUCGGGCCUCAGUAGUUCCAGCGGCACAGCGGGUGAGCCGGGGGAGUGGUGUGGAUGAGACAGGGCUCCUCACCAGGAUACU
rnacentral:sRNA from 1 species